rnacentral:lncRNA from 1 species
CUCUCUCCAGCCUCGCCGUCUCAGCAGAGCGAAACAGGGGAGCCCCUGGCAAGCAAAUGUUGGAAGGUUCCCAGCCCAGCGUCACAGCAGAGCAGAGAGGCCAACAUCCUUGGCAGAGCUGUGAGCCAACAGCCAGCCCCAGCCUGCCAGCCGUGUGAGCAAGCAGUCUUGGAAGGUGAUUCUACAGCCCCAGCUGAAACACUCCAACUGAUGCCAUGUGAGCCGAGAAGAGCAGCCAAACUGAGCCCUUCUCAAAUCCCUGAUCCUCCAAAUGUAGGCAAAAUAAAUUGCUGGUUUUAAGCCACUAAGUUUUGAUAUAGAUUGUUAUGUAAUAAUAGAUAUCAGAGCUCUAGCUAAGGCAGGUGCUGAAGGGAAGAUGUUUUUAUCAUUCAUAGAUAUCACAAAAUAUGUAUAUUUAAUGCAUUUCAAAAUUUUAGUUCUAACCAAUACAAUUCUUUGGAGUUUACUUUUCCCGUUAUAGAAAUGGUACAUUAUAAAUCACCUACCUGCGAGUCUCAAUCUACUCUUGUUAUUUUUCUAUGUUCCGUUCUAGUAUUUGCUUUAAGUGCAUAUUUAAUUUGUAAUUAAAUAUGUAAUUAUGAAAUAGAUAUAAUUUAGAUUUCUCGUGUCAUGUCAUUUUUAGAUGGGAUUGGCCAAUGGAAAUCAGACAGUAAUUACAGUGGUAUGAAAUUAGUCAUAGCUUGCCUUAAUUAAUUUUUUGUUUAUUUUUUUUUUUGAGGCAGAGUUUCGCUCUUGUCACCUGGGCUGUAGUGCAGUGGCAUGAUCUUGGCUCACUGCAACCUCCGCCUCCCAGGUUCAAGCAGUUCUCCUGCCUCAGACUCCCGAGUAGCUGUGAUUACAGGAGUGUACCACCAAGCCUGGCUACUUUUUGCAUUUUUAGUAGAGAUAGGGUUUCACCAUGUUGGCCAGGCUGGUCUCAAACUCCUGACCUCAGGUGAUCCCCCUCCUCAGCCUCCCAAAGUGCUGGGAUUACAGGCAUGAGCCACCUCACCUGGCCUGCUUUAAUUUAACACUCAUUUGCUUUCACUUAUUUACUCUUUGCAAUAACUCAAUCUGGAAGUUUGAUCUUACAGAUGAGAGGACUAAGGCAUUGUAGAGGUAAAGAAGGCAAUCCAAGGUCACACGGCCAGAACAUUAGGGAAUGUACCAGUGCAGUGGUGGGGAAAGUGAAAGCAAAGCGGAGACAGUUUACCAGGUGCCCACACACAGAGAAAACUUCCAACCAGUAAGGUGGGAGCAUUUCCAAAUCUAAGACAAAUGAGACUACUAGAUGCCAAUUGGAUUGCUCCUCCUAAGGAGAAUCUGAGUGCAUGGAAAAUUAUUUACGGACCAUUGAAACCAUUUUGGUGUGUGCUUUGGCAAUAGCUCCUCCUGAAAAGCAUGCAGCCGGCAGAAGAUCUGGAUACCACAGAGACUGAGAUUCUACAUGUGUUCAGAGACCGGAGUCCCUACCACAGAACCUGUGACCUGUGCUUCUAGGGUCUUCAAAGUCAAUAAAAAUCAGCAGGUGAUUGAAGGAGAAGGAAAAUAAAGCACAAGGGAGGUGAUUUGGGGCUUUGUAGAAAUGCCUCUGUUACCCAUUUCUGGGGUUUUAUUGCUGGAGCCUUGUACUCUUGGUGAGAUCUCCUAAGGUGAAGUGUUGGAUUUAAAACAGUCUGAUAGGCCAGGCGCGGCGGCUCACACCUGUAAUCCCAGCACUUUGGGAGGCCAAGGUGGGCGGCUCACUUGAAGUCAGAAGU